UUUCAGGUUGCUCAUCAGGAUGUUCUUCAUCAGGAUGUUCUGCUGGUUGCAUUGCUGGAAUCGUAGUUGGAUGUUUGGUUGUUGUUGCUGCAGCUUCUGCUGGAGGAUUCACUGUGUAUAAGAAACGACACAACAGGAAACCUGAUCCUCAGAGUGCAG